AUCCAGCUGACGAGUCCCAAUUGGAACGAAACGAGCGUCCUGAAU
rnacentral:hammerhead_ribozyme from 1 species